AUGAGGGCCAUACCCUGCGCCGCGCCGCUCAUGCCGCUGCUGGUGGUUGUGGUGCUGCUGCUCGUCGCGCCAUGGCGAGGCGGCGGGGCGGCGGUGGCUCGAGCUCUCAACUUCACGAGGGCGGACUUCCCCGGGGACUUCGUCUUCGGAGCCGGCACGUCGGCCUACCAGUACGAGGGGGCGACCGGCGAAGACGGGAGGAGCGCAAGCAUUUGGGACACUUUUACUCAUGCAGGGAGGAUGCCAGACAAGAGCACCGGCGAUUUGGGCGCAGACGGCUACCACAGAUACAAGGAGGAUGUGGAGUUGAUGAGCGACGCCGGCCUGGAGGCGUACCGGUUCUCCAUUUCCUGGUCCAGGCUCAUUCCCAGAGGAAGAGGGCCCGUGAACCCUAAAGGGCUGGAGUACUACAACAACCUGAUAAAUGAGCUGACAAGAAGAGGAAUCCAGAUACAUGUCACCCUGUACCACCUCGAUUUUCCUCAGAUCCUCGAAGACGAGUACCACGGCUGGCUCAGCCCCAGGGUCGUGGAUGACUUCACGGCGUUCGCGGACGCGUGCUUCCGGGAGUUCGGGGACCGGGUGCGGCACUGGACAACCAUGGACGAGCCCAACGUGAUCGCCAUCGCCGCCUACGACAGCGGCGCCUUCCCGCCGUGCCGCUGCUCGGCGCCCUACGGGAUGAACUGCACCACGGGGGACUCCACCGUGGAGCCCUACACCGUGGCGCACCACUCCAUCCUGGCGCACGCCGCCGCCGUCAGGCUCUACCGGGACAAGUACCAGGCCACGCAGGGGGGCGUCGUCGGCAUGAACAUCUACAGCUUCUGGAACUACCCCUUCUCUCCCACCCCCGCCGACGUCGCCGCCACGCAGAGGUCGCUCGACUUCAUGGUCGGCUGGAUCUUGGACCCCUUGGUGAAAGGAGACUACCCUGAGAUCAUGAAGAAGAAGGCCGGGUCACGGAUUCCGUCCUUCACCAAGGAACAGUCCGAGCUCAUCCGUGGGGCCAUCGACUUCGUUGGCAUCAACCACUACACGUCGGUGUAUGUCAGCGAUGGGAAGAGCGGCGCCGACGCGAGCCUCCGGGACUACAACGCCGACAUGUCUGCUACAUUCAGAAUGUCAAGGAAUGAUAGCGGUACUGGUCAGUUCAUCCCUAUCAACAUGCCCAAUGAUCCACAGGGGCUGCAAUGUAUGCUCCAGUACCUCACGGACACAUACCAGAACAUCCCUAUCUAUGUCCAAGAAAAUGGCUAUGGGCAGUUCUUCAUCGACUCGGUCAAUGAUCAUAACAGAGUGGAGUACUUAAGUGGGUACAUCGGCAGCACACUCGCUGCACUCAGGAAUGGAGCCAACGUGAAGGGCUACUUUGUUUGGUCAUUCCUGGACGUGUUCGAGUUUAUGGCGGGCUAUUAUUCGCGAUACGGACUGCACUACGUUGAUUUUCAGGAUCCUGAGUUGCCAAGGCAGCCAAAGCUCUCUGCUAAGUGGUACUCCAAGUUCUUAAAGAGUGAAAUUGGGAUAAGCAUAGAGAAGAUGGUUAGUCCUGACACGAGGUCACAUGCUCAACAAUGA
rnacentral:rRNA from 1 species